GCCGGACAUGGUGGCGCAUGCCUGUAAUCCCAGCUACUCGGGAGGCUGAGGCAGGAGAAUCGCCUGAACCCGGGAGGCAGAGGUUGCGGUGAGCCGAGAUCACGCCAUUGCACUCCAGCCUGGGAGCGCACUCCAAAAGGAAAGAGUUUGGCGGUUUUUGCCCAGGCUGGAGUACAGUGGUGGGAUCUCAGCUCACCGCAACCUCUGCCUCCGGGUUCAGGCGAUUCUCCUGCCUCA
rnacentral:SRP_RNA from 1 species